GGACCCGCACAAGCAGCGGAGCAUGUGGUUUAAUUCGAAGAUACGCGAAGAACCUUACCAAGACUUGACAUCCUGUUGAAAGCCUAUUUAAUUUUAGGCCCCCUUCGGGCAACAGUGACAGAUGGUGCAUGGUUGUCGUCAGCUCGUGUCGUGAGAUGUUGGGUUAAGUCCCGCAACGAGCGCAACCCUUACUGUUAGUUGGCAGCACAUUAUGGUGGCAACUCUAGCAGGACUGCCCGGGAUAACCGGGAGGAAGGUGAGGAUGACGUCAAAUCAUCAUGCCUCUUACGUCUUGGGCUACACACGUGCUACAAUGGUGACUACAAUAGGAAACGAUCUCGCGAGGGGGAGUAAAUCAAUAAAAAGUCAUCUCAGUUCGAACAGCAGGCUGAAACUCGCCUGCUCGAAGUCGGAGUUGCUAGUAAUCGUAAAUCAGAAUGUUA
rnacentral:rRNA from 1 species